AUUGAACGCUGGCGGCAGGCCUAACACAUGCAAGUCGAGCGAGCGGCGGACGGGUGAGUAAUGUCUGGGAAACUGCCUGAUGGAGGGGGAUAACUACUGGAAACGGUAGCUAAUACCGCAUACCAUCAGAUGUGCCCAGAUGGGAUUAGCUAGUCGGUGGGGUAAUGGCUCACCUAGGCAACGAUCCCUAGCUGGUCUGAGAGGAUGACCAGCCAAAUUGGAACUGAGACACGGUCCAGACGCCUACGGGAGGACGCAGUGGGGAAUAUGGCACAAUGGGCGCAAGCCUGAGGCAGCCAUGCCGCGUGUGUGAAGAAGGCCUUCGGGUUGUAAAGCACUUUCGGCGGGGAGGCGUUACUCGCAGAAGAAGCACCGGCUAACUCCGUGCCAGCAGCCGCGGUAAUAC
rnacentral:rRNA from 1 species